ensembl:lncRNA
CAGACCUAGGAUUAGCUUCCCCUCCCCCAAGCUUUACACAAAACAUUAAUGGGGAGAAACGCCAGACUGACUCAAGAUCAGUCUUUAGGGGAAACUUGACUCUACUCUAAUCAUGAAACCCAAAUUUUCACUCGUUUUGACAAAUAGUACUGCAGUUCUGACAUACUGGUAGCCUGGGUGGAUUAUAAUGUAGCCUGGGGGGAUUAUAAUGUAGCCUGGGUGGGAUUAUAAUGUAGCCUGGGUGGAUUAUAAUGUAGCCUGGGUGGAUUAUAUGUAUGUGGCCUGGGUGGAUUAUAAUGUAGCCUGGGUGGGAUUAUAAUGUAGUCUGGGGGGAUUAUAAUAUAGCCUGGGGGAUUAUAAUGUGGCCUGGGUGGAUUAUAAUGUAGCCUGGGUGGAUUAUAAUGUAGCCUGGGGGAUUAUAAUGUAGCCUGGGUGGGAUUAUAAUGUAGCCUGGGUGGGAUUAUAAUGUGGCCUGGGUGGAUUAUAAUGUAGCCUGGGUGGGAUUAUAAUGUAGUCUGGGGGAUUAUAAUAUAGCCUGGGGGGUUUAUAAUGUAGUCUGGGGUGGAUUAUAAUGUAGCCUGGGGGAUUAUAAUGUAGUCUGGGUGGAUUAUAAUGUAGCCUGGGGGAUUAUAAUGUAGCCUGGGUGGAUGUAAUUUAGCCUGGGUGGAUUAUAAAGUAGCCUGGCGAAUGUAAUGUAGCCUGGGUGGAUUAUAAUGUAGCCUGGGUGGGAUUAUAAUGUAGCCUGGGUGGAUUAUAAUGUAGCCUGGGGGGGGAUUAUAAUGUAGUCUGGGUGAAUUAUAAAGUAGCCUGGGUGGAUUAUAAUGUAGCCUGGGGAGAUUAUAAUGUAGCCUGUGUGAAUUAUAAUGUAGCCUGGGUGAAUUAUAAUGUAGCCUGGGUGGAUUAUAAUGUAGCCUGGGUGGAUUAUAAUGUAGCCUGGGGGAUUAUAAUGUAGUCUGGGUGGAUUAUAAUGUAGCCUGGGGGAUUAUAAUGUAGCCUGGGUGGGAUUAUAAUGUAGCCUGGGUGGGAUUAUAAUGUAGCCUGGGUGAAUUAUAAUGUAGCCUGGGUGAAUUAUAAUGUAGCCUGGGUGAAUUAUAAUGUAGCCUGGGGGAUUAUAAUGUAGCCUGGGUGGAUUAUAAUGUAGCCUCCUGGGGGAUUAUAAUGUAGCCUGGAUAGAUUAUAAUGUAGCCUGGGUGGAUUAUAAUGUAGCCUGGGGGAAUUAUAAUGUAGCCUGGGUGGAUUAUAAUGUAGCCUGGGUGGGAUUAUAAUGUAGCCUGGGUGG